GAUGAACGCUAGCGGCAGGCCUAACACAUGCAAGUCGAGGGAUAAGCCUUCGGGCUAAGACCGUCGCACGGGUGCGUAACGCGUAUACAAUCUGCCUUUUAUCCGGGGGCUAGCCCGUGGGAAUUUGGAUUAAUACCCUAUGGUAUAUGAGCACGGCAUCGUGCACUUAUUAAAACUACGGCGGUAAAAGAUGAGUAUGCGUUCUAUUAGCUAGUGGGUGAGGUAACGGCUCCCCAAGGCGUCGAUAGAUAGGGGGUCUGAGAGGGAUGUCCCCCACACUGGUACUGAGAUACGGACCAGACUCCUACGGGAGGCAGCAGUGAGGAAGAUUGGACAGUGGAAGGAAGACUGAUCCAGCCAGGCCGCGUGCAGGAGGACGGCGUUAUGGGUAGUAAACUGCUUGUGUAAGGAAAGAAGAAGGAGUACGUGUACUUUUAUGACGGUACCUUACGAAUAAGCAACGGCUAACUCCGUG
rnacentral:rRNA from 1 species